CCUUCGGGAGUGAGUAGAGUGGCGAACGGGUGAGUAACGCGUAGGAAUCUACCCAAGAGUGGGGGACAACCCGGAGAAAUCCGGGCUAAUACCGCAUACGCCCUACGGGGUAAAGUGGGGGACCUUUCGGGGCCUCACGCUUUUGGAUGAGCCUGCGUCGGAUUAGCUAGUUGGUGGGGUAACGGCCUACCAAGGCAACGAUCCGUAGCUGGUUUGAGAGGAUGACCAGCCACACUGGGACUGAGACACGGCCCAG
rnacentral:rRNA from 1 species